rnacentral:rRNA from 1 species
UACGUAGGGUGCAAGCGUUAAUCGGAAUUACUGGGCGUAAAGCGUGCGCAGGCGGUGAUGUAAGACAGGUGUGAAAUCCCCGGGCUUAACCUGGGAACUGCAUUUGUGACUGCAUCGCUGGAGUGCGGCAGAGGGGGGAUGGAAUUCCGCGUGUAGCAGUGAAAUGCGUAGAUAUGCGGAGGAACACCGAUGGCGAAGGCAAUCCCCUGGGCCUGCACUGACGCUCAUGCACGAAAGCGUGGGGAUCAAACAGG